UGACCAGUAACGCUGAGUUCUCCUGGGGAGAAGCGGGGAAACCAAUUUUAGGGGUGAAUCCUCGGCACUUUAGCAGCACAUUUUGUCAUUCGAUGUGAUGUGAGUGAGUGUCAGGGUAGGGUUACCUUGCAACCCCGAACCCCGUCAGCUAAACCCUCGUAAGCCGUGGGGAAAGGGAAA
rnacentral:sRNA from 1 species